GAUGAAGAACGUAGCGAAAUGCGAUAAGUAAUGUGAAUUGCAGAAUUCAGAGAAUCAUCGAAUCUUUGAACGCACAUUGCGCCCGCUAGUAUUCUGGCGGGCAUGCCUGUUCGAGCGUCAUUACAACCCUCAGGCCCCCGGGCCUGGCGUUGGGGAUCGGCGGAGCCCCCCGUGGGCACACGCCGUCCCCCAAAUGCAGUGGCGGUCCCGCCGCAGCUUCCAUCGCGUAGUAGCUAACACCUCGCGACUGGAGAGCGGCGCGGCCACGCCGUAAAACACCCAACUCUUCUGAAGUUGACCUCGAAUCAGGUAGGAAUACCCGCUGAACUUAAGCAUAUCAAUAAGCGGAGGA
rnacentral:misc_RNA from 1 species